UACACAUUCCUUACGCUGUUUUUCAGCUUCUCAAUAGACUGGGUCAGUGUUUGCAGCAAGAUGAGGAGGCUCUUCUGUAGAGAUAUUGAGAGGCUCCGUCUUCCACCUGCCACAUGGCAAUAAGAAAGGAAGGUUCACUUCAGGGCCAGUGUACCAUGUAAGUUCCAUUAUAUCCUGUUCUGGGACAAGAAGGAUGCAAAUGCACUAGGCUAGUCCACAUGCUACAUGAUGAAUUUCACCUCCAGUAAUCUUACUGAAAUUAACAGGGAUAACCUGUAUGAGUUAGUAUUAGAAAGAACAAAGUCAACAAGUGCUUCCAUCUGUCAAGCCAUCAUUUCACAAAAUGAAGAUGAUCCAGACAAGGUCAGCUCUAGUUACAACAGGCAAGUGGCUCUAGCGACUCAGUG